rnacentral:ncRNA from 2 species
GCAAUUAUUGCAGGAGAGAAGCGCUCAAUGCGCUCGCCGAAGGAGCAAAGCCUCAGGAAACUCUCAGGCAAAAGGACUGCAAUAAUUGA